rnacentral:tRNA from 1 species
GGAGGGAUGGUCGAGCGGUCGAAGACGACGGCUUGCUAAGCCGUUGCUGGGGUGUUGAGCCCGAGCCGUGGGUUCGAAUCCCACUCCCUCCGCCA